rnacentral:rRNA from 1 species
ACUCCUACGGGAGGCAGCAGUGAGGAAUAUUGGUCAAUGGGCGCAAGCCUGAACCAGCCAUGCCGCGUGCAGGAAGACGGCCUUAUGGGUUGUAAACUGCUUUUACAUAAGACUAACCGUAUAUUUGCGAAUAUACCUGAAUGUAUUAUGAGAAUAAGGAUCGGCUAACUCCGUGCCAGCAGCCGCGGUAAUACGGAGGAUCCGAGCGUUAUUCGGAUUUAUUGGGUUUAAAGGGUGCGUAGGCUGACUGAUAAGUCAGCGGUGAAAAGCAUAGGCUUAACCUAUGUCUUGCCGUUGAUACUGUCAGACUAGAAUAUAAAUGGAGUAGGCGGAAUGAAUCAUGUAGAGGUGACAUUCAUAGAUAUGAUUUAGAACACCGUUCGCGAAGGCGGCUUACUAAGAUAUAAUUGACGCUGAUGCACGAAAGCGUGGGUAUCGAACAGGAUUAGAUACCCUGGUAGUC